rnacentral:rRNA from 1 species
GCUUGUCUCAAAGAUUAAGCCAUGCAUGUUCAAGUAUAGCAAGUGUACAGUGAAACUGCGAAUGGCUCAUUAAAUCAGUUAUAAUUUAUUUGAUAGUGAAAUUGUACAUGGAUAACCGUGGCAAUUCUAGGGCUAAUACAUGCGUCAAUGGUCGGUCGACCAGUAUUUAUUAGAUACAAAACCAAUGCCCUUCGGGGCUCCUUGGUGAUUCAUGAUAACUAUACGAAUCGCACGGCCUUGCGCCGGCGAUGGUUCAUUCAAAUUUCUUCCCUAUCAACUUUCGAUGUUUGGGUAUUGGCCAAACAUGGUUGCAACGGGUAACGGAGGGUUAGGGCUCGACCCCGGAGAAGGAGCCUGAGAAACGGCUACUACAUCCAAGGAAGGCAGCAGG